rnacentral:rRNA from 1 species
UACAGAGGUCCCAAGCGUUGUUCGGAUUCACUGGGCGUAAAGGGUGCGUAGGCGGUUGGGUAAGUCUGAUGUGAAAUCUCGGAGCUUAACUCCGAAAUUGCAUCGGAUACUAUCCGGCUAGAGGAAUGGAGGGGAGACUGGAAUACUUGGUGUAGCAGUGAAAUGCGUAGAUAUCAAGUGGAACACCAGUGGCGAAGGCGAGUCUCUGGACAUAUCCUGACGCUGAGGCACGAAAGCGAGGGGAGCAAACGGG